rnacentral:rRNA from 1 species
UUAAGUGACUAAGCGUACACGGUGGAUGCCUGGGCAGUCAGAGGCGAUGAAGGACGUACUAACUUGCGAUAAGCGCAGAUAAGGCAGUAAGAGCCGUUUGAGUCUGCGAUUUCCGAAUGGGGAAACCCAACUGCAUAAGCAGUUACUGUUAACUGAAUACAUAGGUUAACAGAGCAAACCGGGGGAACUGAAACAUCUAAGUACCCCGAGGAGAAGAAAUCAACCGAGAUUCCGGUAGUAGCGGCGAGCGAACCUGGAUUAGCCCUUAAGCACUCGGUGAAGUAGGUGAACAAGCUGGAAAGCUUGGCGAUACAGGGUGAUAGCCCCGUAACCGACGCUUCAUCGAGCGUGAAAUCGAGUAGGGCGGGACACGUGAUAUCCUGUCUGAAUAUGGGGGGACCAUCCUCCAAGGCUAAAUACUCCUGACUGACCGAUAGUGAACCAGUACCGUGAGGGAAAGGCGAAAAGAACCCCUGUGAGGGGAGUGAAAUAGAACCUGAAACCGUGUACGUACAAGCAGUAGGAGCACCUUCGUGGUGUGACUGCGUACCUUUUGUAUAAUGGGUCAGCGACUUAUAUUCAGUGGCAAGGUUAACCGUAUAGGGGAGCCGUAGCGAAAGCGAGUCUUAACUGGGCGUUCAGUCUCUGGAUAUAGACCCGAAACCGGGUGAUCUAGCCAUGGGCAGGUUGAAGGUUGAGUAACAUCAACUGGAGGACCGAACCGACUAAUGUUGAAAAAUUAGCGGAUGACUUGUGGCUAGGGGUGAAAGGCCAAUCAAACUCGGAGAUAGCUGGUUCUCCCCGAAAGCUAUUUAGGUAGCGCCUCGGACGAAUACUACUGGGGGUAGAGCACUGUUAAGGCUAGGGGGUCAUCCCGACUUACCAACCCUUUGCAAACUCCGAAUACCAGUAAGUACUAUCCGGGAGACACACGGCGGGUGCUAACGUCCGUCGUGGAGAGGGAAACAACCCAGACCGCCAGCUAAGGUCCCAAAGUAUUGCUAAGUGGGAAACGAUGUGGGAAGGCUCAGACAGCUAGGAUGUUGGCUUAGAAGCAGCCAUCAUUUAAAGAAAGCGUAAUAGCUCACUAGUCGAGUCGGCCUGCGCGGAAGAUGUAACGGGGCUAAGCAAUACACCGAAGCUGCGGCAAUAUCUUUUAGAUAUUGGGUAGGGGAGCGUUCUGUAAGCCGUUGAAGGUGAAUCGUAAGGUUUGCUGGAGGUAUCAGAAGUGCGAAUGCUGACAUGAGUAACGACAAAGGGGGUGAAAAACCUCCUCGCCGGAAGACCAAGGGUUCCUGUCCAACGUUAAUCGGGGCAGGGUGAGUCGACCCCUAAGGUGAGGCCGAAAGGCGUAAUCGAUGGGAAACGGGUUAAUAUUCCCGUACUUCUGACUAUUGCGAUGGGGGGACGGAGAAGGCUAGGUGGGCCAGGCGACGGUUGUCCUGGUUCAAGUGCGUAGGCUUGAGAGUUAGGUAAAUCCGGCUCUCUCUAAGGCUGAGACACGACGUCGAGCUGCUACGGCAGUGAAGUCAUUGAUGCCAUGCUUCCAGGAAAAGCCUCUAAGCUUCAGAUAGUCAGGAAUCGUACCCCAAACCGACACAGGUGGUCGGGUAGAGAAUACCAAGGCGCUUGAGAGAACUCGGGUGAAGGAACUAGGCAAAAUGGUACCGUAACUUCGGGAGAAGGUACGCUCUUGAUGGUGAAGUCCCUCGCGGAUGGAGCUGACGAGAGUCGCAGAUACCAGGUGGCUGCAACUGUUUAUUAAAAACACAGCACUGUGCAAAAUCGCAAGAUGACGUAUACGGUGUGACGCCUGCCCGGUGCCGGAAGGUUAAUUGAUGGGGUUAGCGCAAGCGAAGCUCUUGAUCGAAGCCCCGGUAAACGGCGGCCGUAACUAUAACGGUCCUAAGGUAGCGAAAUUCCUUGUCGGGUAAGUUCCGACCUGCACGAAUGGCGUAAUGAUGGCCACGCUGUCUCCACCCGAGACUCAGUGAAAUUGAAAUCGCUGUGAAGAUGCAGUGUACCCGCGGCUAGACGGAAAGACCCCGUGAACCUUUACUACAGCUUGGCACUGAACAUUGAACCUACAUGUGUAGGAUAGGUGGGAGGCUAUGAAGACGUGACGCCAGUUGCGUUGGAGCCGUCCUUGAAAUACCACCCUUGUAUGUUUGAUGUUCUAACUUAGACCCAUUAUCUGGGUUGAGGACAGUGCCUGGUGGGUAGUUUGACUGGGGCGGUCUCCUCCCAAAGAGUAACGGAGGAGCACGAAGGUGGGCUAAUCACGGUUGGACAUCGUGAGGUUAGUGCAAUGGCAUAAGCCCGCUUAACUGCGAGAAUGACGGUUCGAGCAGGUGCGAAAGCAGGUCAUAGUGAUCCGGUGGUUCUGUAUGGAAGGGCCAUCGCUCAACGGAUAAAAGGUACUCCGGGGAUAACAGGCUGAUACCGCCCAAGAGUUCAUAUCGACGGCGGUGUUUGGCACCUCGAUGUCGGCUCAUCACAUCCUGGGGCUGAAGUCGGUCCCAAGGGUAUGGCUGUUCGCCAUUUAAAGUGGUACGCGAGCUGGGUUUAGAACGUCGUGAGACAGUUCGGUCCCUAUCUGCCGUGGGCGUUGGAAGAUUGAAGGGGGCUGCUCCUAGUACGAGAGGACCGGAGUGGACGAACCUCUGGUGUUCGGGUUGUGUCGCCAGACGCAUUGCCCGGUAGCUAAGUUCGGAAUUGAUAAGCGCUGAAAGCAUCUAAGCGCGAAGCGAGCCC